CGGAACCGUAGAUGCUAGCUAGCAGAGCUACAUUACUGGAGUGGUGAGGAAGGAGAAAGACGAUAUUUUGUUCCGAUAAAAACAACAUUUUCCUGCCAAUGGGCCAGUUUUUUUGUUUGCACUGAUGUGCUUUGCUGGUGAAUUCUGCUGUUAGCACUGGUGUUUUCAACGAUUAAAAUUACAUCAGUUGUGGACAUAUGUUUGACUUGGAGCGUUCUUCAGAAAAGCCGAGACCUCAGAGAUGAUCUCAGAACCAUCCAAGAAGAUUUCAGAUGCUCCAGAUAGACAAUUUCAGUACUGGAUGGUGAUGGUGAGCCGAGCCCACAAGAUGCUGAACCAAGGAACCCACCGACCUUG